CCUACGGGGUGCAGCAGUGGGGAAUAUUGGGCAAUGGAGGCAACUCUGACCCAGCAACGCCGCGUGAGCGAUGAAGGUCUUCUGAUUGUAAAGCUCUGUCUCAGGGGACGAAGUAUGACGGUACCCUGUAAGAAAGCCCCGGCAAACUACGUGCCCGCAGCCUCGGUAAUACGUAGGGGGCUAGCGUUGUCCGGAAUUACUGGGCGUAAAGGGAGUGUAUACGGCUUGUCAAGUUAAUGGGGAAAGCCUGCGGCUUAACCGCAGUAUUGCACUUAAAACUGACGCGCUAGAGUGCAGGAGAGGUGAGUGGAAUUCCUAGUGUAGCGGUGGAAUGCGUAGAUAUUAGGAGGAACACCAGACGCGAAGGCGGCUCACUGGAGUGUAACUGACGUUGAGGCUCGAAAGCGUGGGUAGCAAACAGGAUUAGAUACCCCAGUAGUC
rnacentral:rRNA from 1 species